ensembl:misc_RNA
UUGGUAGCCCUAGGGACAGAAGUCUUCUCUUUAUUUGCAAAACGGCACUGCAGGCUUCCCUCAUGCCAUCUCACCUUUGUGCUUCCAUGUGGACUGGGAUGAUCCUGUCUGCUGGACGAAGGAAGAGUUCAGUCUCUAUGGCCCAUUCAGACCUUGGCCUCU